rnacentral:rRNA from 1 species
UACGAAGGGGGCUAGCGUUGUUCGGAAUACUGGGCGUAAAGCGCGCGCAGGCGGUCUUCCAAGUCAGUGGUGAAAGCCCGGAGCUCAACUCCGGAACUGCCAUUGAAACUGUUGGACUUGAGUACGAGAGAGGUGAGUGGAAUUCCCAGUGUAGAGGUGAAAUUCGUAGAUAUUGGGGAAGAACACCGGUGGCGAAGGCGGCUCACUGGCUCGUAACUGACGCUCAGGCGCGACG